rnacentral:lncRNA from 1 species
AGAGAGUAAAAGUUAGAGCCCCUCCCUUUACUUCUCUAUAAUCCUGGAAGUCUCCCCAGAGGUAACCACUGCCAGUGGUUUGGCAUGUAUCCUUCCAGAUUUUUUUCUACACGUUACCUACCAAAUUCUAUGCUAGAGUCCGUAUAAUGCUAAAGACAUAUGAGUCAGGUUCCUAAAUGCCAUUGGUGAUAAUGCCUGUGAGAAUCCAGGAAUCCAGUUGGAGGCAAUAUAAAAUGAUUACAAAGUAUCAUUUAAUAUACUGAUAAAGUUGCAGGUGUACUACUGAAGAAGUAACUGUAGCACCCACAAGAUAGAGGCACCCACAUGACAACCAGAAGAUGCUGAAAGAAGGCAGAGUGGCCUGAGAAAAACAGCAGGGCUUUCUCAAGCUUUUGCUUGCCUAAUAAUCACCUGGAAGCCUUAAAAACACAGAUUCCCAGACCCCAUACACAGAGAUUUUUAAUCUAAAAGGUCAGUUUGUGAGGAUUUGCAUUUUUAAUAAGCUCCAGAGGUAAACUGAAGUUUCAAGGGUGAGAACCACACUGUGAGAAGCUGGGCUUUAGCCAACCUCCCCACAACCCCCACCACCACACACACACACCCCCUGCUGCCCCAGGCUUCGUGGCAACAUGCUAGAUUUCUGCGUAGAAUCAUUCCGAAUUCCAAAUUUUAGUGCCUGGUCAAGCGUUACUGCCUUUAAAUGGAAUUUGCUAUCAGGGCAAAAGAUGAUUUGGGCUUCUCUUUAACCAUGAAGCAUUUUUUGUUCCUGACCACAGAGCUCCUGAAUCCCUUGGAAUUUCACGAGCGAUUGAAGUUUCUGUGGUUUUAACAAGAUUUUUGCUAAAGAACUUCUUCAGGAAGAAGAGAACUAAACUCAAGUGGAAGCUGAAUAGAACACUAUUAUGAGCUGAACUGUGCCCCACCCCCUGCAAAUUCAUAUAUUGAAGUCUUAACCCCUAGUACCUCAGAAUGUGACUGUACUUUAAAGAGGUUAAGUUAAAAUGAGGUCAUUAGUAUAGGCCCUAAUCCGACAUAACUGGUGUCUUUACAAGAAGUGGUGAUUUGGACAGACAUGUACACCCAGAAGAAAGACGGUGUGAGGACACAGGGAGAAGACAGCCAUUUACAAAACAGCCAUGUACAAGCCAAGAAGGCUUCAGAAGAAACCAACUGAGCCAACACCUUGAACUUUAACUUUUGGCCUACAGAAGGGUGGCGAGGAAGGUUUCUAAACAGUGGAGGCGCAAUUAGUGUGGGUGUCAUAGCCCAAAUGGGAUGAAGACGGCCUCCACAUGGGAAAUAGGCUCAGAAAAAAAUGUUGGAGCCCAGUUGGGGUAAGAAAGCCAUCUCUGCAGGGGAAGGAGUGGUAGUGGAGAUGAAAGACUGUCACAUGCAGAAGAAAAAAAUAUAUCAAGAAUAAUGGAAGUCAGAUUUAUCCUGUGCAAGAAUGGAACUACAAUUAUGGAAAGGGAGUAGAAUAAACCCUGUAGUGUUAGACUGAAGUACUGGUGUGAAUUCAUGGUUUUUAAUGUGUAAUAAUGUAAAGAAAUAUAAUUAAAUGAAAUUAAAUAUAAAAUUUUUAAAAGAUGCAAAUGUUUAAUGUACGUGUGUAUGUAAGUAUAGAAAUUUUAAAUUUUACAUAUUUAUGUUUUCAUACUGACAUAUAUAUGUAUAUGUAUAUUCUCUUUCUGAGAGAGCCUAUGAGCAGUGGCACUUCUAAUAACAUCUAGCAUCUAGCUCUUGGCACCAGAUACUAUGCUUACCUAAGAGGAAGCAAGCCUCCUUGGAGAAAUGGCUAUUCUAGGGCUGGGCAUGGAUAAGGACAAAAUGAACCUAGAGCAUCUUGCUGUACUAGAAAGCAAGGAAGUGCUCAAUGGAUGAUGGAAGACUUAUCAAAAGAACCCAGAAGGCAGGUCAAAGGGUGUCCCUGUGGUAAAAUCUGGAACAAUUUUUAGCAUUAAAUAAUGAUAGUAACAAAUUAUAAUCCACUGAAGGAGAUAGGAAACCAUGAGUGUAUUCUGACAUAAUUAACUGAAUAAAUUUAAAGUUUAAUAAGGAAUGAGAUAUUUACACAGUUUUAAAAUGCCUUCACACAAAAGCAUUAAUCCCAAAGGAAAAAUAAUAACUUCAAAGGGAAGAAGCCUGACAGAUACCAUCUUAAUUGAUCAAAAUUAAUAUUAUCAGUAAUGGGGUGAGUUGAAAUCAUGCAAUGAGAAUACAUGGGACACUUUUGAGAUAUUCCCGACAAAGAUGCUAUAUAAUCUGAAGCAAAUCACAAGGAAAUACCAGACAAACCCAAACAGAGGCAUUCUACAAAAUAAUUGUAAUCUUUAAAAGAGUCAAAUCAUGAAUGUCAAAGAAUGUUGUACUGAUCCAGAGUGGAGGAGACAUGACAACUAAAUUAAACUGUGAUUCUGAACUUCUGCCAAUAAAGAACAUUAUUGGAAAAAUUGGCAAGAUUUUAAUGAGGUCUAAAAAUUAGAUGGUGGUUAUGUACUAACAUUAAUUUUCCUAUUUUGAUGGUUGUUUGUCAUUAAGUUGGAGAAUGUUCUUAUGUUUCAGGGGAACUGGCAUCAAGUUUGCAAUGUAUUCUCAAAUAGUUCAGAAACAAAAUAGUCUUCCCACUGUGGUUACAACUUUCUUUAUGUUAUGUUUGAGACUGUUUCAAAAUCACACAAUUCUGAGAGACUGGUAGGCCAGGGUAAAAAAAAUUAAUAAUUCAAAAACAAUAGGUUUACAACACCAAAAUUACCAUAUACAAAGAUAAGUGAUUAAUAACAAGGGGUCAAAUAUUAAACCUUUUUUGCAUGCCAGUAGGAAACUAUGGUUACUUGGGAAAUUGAAAAUAAAAAAUUUUUUAAAGCAAA